rnacentral:rRNA from 1 species
UGUUGGGUUAAGUCCCGCAACGAGCGCAACCCUUAUUGUUAGUUGCCAUCAUUGAGUUGGGCACUCUAGCGAGACUGCCGGUAAUAAACCGGAGGAAGGUGGGGAUGACGUCAAAUCAUCAUGCCCCUUAUGACCUGGGCUACACACGUGCUACAAUGGCUGGUACAACGAGUCGCAAGCCGGUGACGGCAAGCUAAUCUCUGAAAGCCAGUCUCAGUUCGGAUUGUAGGCUGCAACUCGCCUACAUGAAGUCGGAAUCGCUAGUAAUCGCGGAUCAGCACGCCGCGGUGAAUACGUUCCCGGGCCUUGUACACACCGCCCGUCAC